AUAAGAGACUAAAAGCAGGCUGCCGGAACCGCCCCCGUCAACCCCCUCGGGCCAUUUUAUCUUUCUGUGGAGGCUUUGUUCUUUUUACUCUGCAAUAACUCUUGCUGGUGCUCACUUGUUGGGUCCACACUGCUCUUAUGAGCUGUAACGCUCACCGCGAAGGUCUGCAGCUUCACUCCUGAAGCCAGCGAGACCACGAACCCACCGGGAGUGAACGAACAACUGCAGACGCGCCAUCUUAAGAGCUGUAACGGUCACCGAGAGGGUCUGCGGCUUCAUUCUUGAAGUCAGUGAGACCGAGAACCUACCAAUUUCGGACACAAUAGUGCUGCCAAACCAGCCUGGAAAAUGCGGCCUUCUGGACUUCUUCUUGUUCUAUGCGACUUUGGCGCCCAGGUGUCUGAGACUGCAGGAAAGUUAACCAGCAACAGCGUUGGGGCUAGGGAAGGACAAAGCUCUUGGAGACCUUGAGAGUGAAGCUUGGAAGUCCCCACCUUCAACUGAGCCUCUGGCUCAGGCUGGGAGAGAAGAUGGAGUCGGUCCUGGAAGGUUCGGUGGUGAAAAAGGAUGACAGGACAUUUCUAAAUCAUCAUAGGAAGGUGAAGAAGUGGCAAGUACAUGGCUGAGAGCAGGGGCCCUGGUGCAGGGUGAUCUAAUCCAGUCCUGAUGAUGCUGAUUUCUACACAAGCAACCACCUUUCUGUACUUCUGUGUUUUCAUCUGCAAAAUGGGGACGGUGAUGUAGUAGUGCCUAUGUUUUGGAGAGUACGUGAUUUAAUACACAUGGAGUAUGGGGAACAGCGCCUGGCCUAAAGUGAGUCCAAGUUGCUCUAAUUUAUGUCCCUCGACAAUACUCACACCAAGCACGCCAUCUGUACAACUGUGUGGGGAAAGAAGUUCUCAGGUUCAAGGUCUCCGGCAGAUAAACACAAUUUCAAGUUCACAGACAUCCUCAGCAAUCAACAUCAACUACCACACCAAGAAAGCAAGACCUUGAUAUUGUUGGUGUUCGUGAGAACCAGUAUACACCAAGAAAGGAGAAGCUGGGUGGUGUCCCAGAUAAUUCAGGUUAAAAAGACUUUUAUCAGAAGAUCAAAGACAUCCAGGCACAGCUUGAAGAUGCAGCCAUAGUUCAUUCAUCAUGUCUUCUUGUGAAUGAGCCUCAAGUUUCUUGCCAACACAAGGACAUGUUUAAUGUCCCUGUGACAUUUGGUGAGAAUGCUGAAGCAUCACUGAAAUUCUUCAGGCCAAGGUACACCUGCUGAGGUCCCAAGACCUUUUCUGAGAGCUGGGCAGACCAUCUUCCCUUUCUGGGCCUCAGUUACCUCAUUUAUAAAUGGCACAAUCUUUUUAACAUGCCUUGGUGUUGCCCAAUGCAAGAUAAGGGAGACAGAAGUAUGAGAAUCUGCUUUUGCACAUGUUCUCAGAACGGCACUUUGAUGGGCAUCCCAAGUGCAUCCUGGGGAGAAUGGAUCCUUGAUAUUAUGAAUGAAUCGUGUAGGAAUCAUAGCCUCUAAUGAAAAGUCAAACUUUCAGACGUGUCAGAAAUUCCAAAAAGAGGGCUCUGAAGUGUAUAUGGAAUAUUUAUAUGUCUUUUUGCAAGUACAUUGCUCAUUCAUUCACAAGGCAUUUGGCCAUUCCACUGUUAAUUCACAAUUGGUUAAUUGCUGGUGUAGACGCUGACAUUCAGAUAUCCUAUUUCCUUGCAAACAGAGCCCUGAUUUUGCUCAUAUGUUGGGAAGCAAUAUGCUCUCUGGCACCAGGGAAUGGAUUACCAUUGGUCUGUGACAGAAACCCUGCACUGAGGGAACAGGGCUGGGUCUACCCCACCUGUGGACAGAGGGCUCCGGAGGGGUGGCUUUCCCAAAGGGGGCUCGGGACCCAGAAGCAGCAGCAGGUGCUGGGCGGGUAAACCAGGGGUGUCUUCCAACUCAUGUCCGUCUCUCCUCUGGCUCAUGGGCCAUGGCCUGUGGCACCCCCUCUGUCCUGGAGAACUCAGCACUGGACCUCCCUGCUCACUGGGGACCACAUGGCUGAAGAACAAGAUACCCAUUUCCUGAGAAUAUUUUUUCCCAACCCUCCCAUUGCUUCAUUUUUAGACACCACACUUAAUUCAUGUAUAAAUCUGAAAUCACAUUGAACGAGAAUGUGAGUUUUCCGAGUUCACGGAAAUGGACCUGGGUUAGCGGUAGUGGCGAGGGGGCCUGGCCUUGCAGGAGUGAAGGUGAAGGUGACUGUGAACUCAACUUCCCUCCUGCACCAACAGUUGAAG